UUAUAUAUGCAGGGGUCAGGGUUCAAACCUCGGAUACCCCACUUAUUCACCUCAAGGGUGGAAUUUCAAGCCACUAGACUACUUGACCAAAAAAAUCUAGAGGUCCCUAAACUAUUAAGAAAUUUUCAAACAGAUCCUCGAACUUAAAUUUUUUAUAAUCGAGUCCUUAAAUUUAUCAAUAAUCUGUGGUUGUCUCUGAACUAAAGAAAUUUAAUCAAAUCCCUAAGUUUUUAAAUAUUUUUUUAAUUAAUUCCCUCAUAAACUUAGUUAGGUCCCUGAACUUAAUAAUUUGUAACGGAGUCCGGGAUGAAUCAAGCCACUUAAAUACCGUACUGAGCAUUGCAAACUACUUAAUGUUGUGGACUUGAACAGCACAUAAUACCCAAGUUCGUAUCAUGGUACUACUAGUUCUUUCCUUUUCACUUCCACAAAAAUUACUCUAAAUUCUACCAAAAAAAAAUAAUUACUCUAAAUUUUGUCACCACAGGAGACAUCCUUGAUGUGGAGAGAGAGAGGGGGAGAAGGGUGUGUGUGUGUGUGAUGGGGGG
rnacentral:lncRNA from 1 species